AGAGUUUGAUCAUGGCUCAGGACGAACGCUGGCGGUGCGCCUUAUGCAUGCAAGUCGAGCGAAGCUUUUCAGUAGUUUACUACAGAAAAUGACUGAGCGGCGAACGGGUGAGUAACGCGUGAGCAACCUACCUUAGUUACUGGGAUAGCCCGAGGAAACUCGGAUUAAUACCGGAUAUUCUUAUUUAAUCACAUGAUUUUUUAAGGAAAGGUCAGCCGAACUAAGAUGGGCUCGCGUUCUAUCAGCUAGUUGGUAGGGUAAUGGCCUACCAAGGCUACGACGGAUAGCUGGUCUGAGAGGACGAUCAGCCACACUGGGACUGAGACACGGCCCAGACUCCUACGGGAGGCUGCAGCAGGGAAUAUUGCGCAAUGAGCGAAAGCUUGACGCAGCGACACCGCGUGUGGGAUGACGGAUCUAGGUUUGUAAACCACUUUCAGGAGGGAAGAAAAUGACGGUACCUCCACAAGAAGCCCCGGCCAACUACGUGCCAGCAGCCGCGGUAAUACGUAGGGGGCGAGCGAGCGUUGUCCGGAUUUAUUGGGCGUAAAGAGCUCGUAGGCGGUUCAACAAGUCGGUCGUGAAAGUUCAGGGCUCAACCCUGAAAUGUCGAUCGAUACUGUUGUGACUAGGAUACGGUAGAGGUGAGUGGAAUUCCGAGUGUAGCGGUGAAAUGCGUAGAUA
rnacentral:rRNA from 1 species